CACGUAGGGUGCAAGCGUUGUCCGGAAUUAUUGGGCGUAAAGGGCUCGUAGGCGGUCCGUCACGUCGGGAGUGAAAACUCGGGGGCUCAACCCCGAGCCUGCUUUCGAUACGGGCGGACUAGAGGUAGGUAGGGGAGAACGGAAUUCCUGGUGUAGCGGUGGAAUGCGCAGAUAUCAGGAGGAACACCGGUGGCGAAGGCGGGUCUCUGGGCAGUAACUGACGCUGAGGAGCGAAAGCGUGGGGAGCGAACAGG
rnacentral:rRNA from 1 species